GGACGCAUGGCUCAGUUGGUAGAGCCCCAGUAGCGCGUAAUCUGGAGGUCCCAGGUUAAAUCCCUGGCCUGACCA